AGUCUUAUAGUCAAAAAUGAUUUUAAAUUGCAAAUUUGAAGGAGGGAUAAGUUUAACCCUAAGGCUU
rnacentral:tRNA from 1 species